rnacentral:rRNA from 1 species
UACGGAGGGGACUAGCGUUGUUCGGAAUUACUGGGCGUAAAGCGCACGUAGGCGGAUUUGUAAGUCAGGGGUGAAAUCCCGGGGCUCAACCUCGGAACUGCCUUUGAUACUGCAAAUCUCGAGUCCGGAAGAGGUGAGUGGAAUUCCUAGUGUAGAGGUGAAAUUCGUAGAUAUUAGGAAGAACACCAGUGGCGAAGGCGGCUCACUGGCCCGUAACUGACGCUGAGGUGCGAAAGCGUGGGGAGCAAACAGG